GGGGACGACAGGCUUCGACGCGGUUGUCCGCGGGGGUGAUUGCGAGUCGAGGUACCGGAGGCCUCGUAAAACCCCGGUAACAACCAUACGUGCGGACUCCCAUGAGUUCGCCCUCGCUGCCUAGCAACCACUAGGUGAGUGAGGUCUCGGGCCCCGUUCGCCGACGGCGGGGGUCCCCGGGAUCAUCCAGUCGGAUCACCCGGGCGCGACGCCCUCGCGCACCCGGGGACAUUUCAGGAGGGCUGGCACUCCGAACGUGGGUCGACGGGACCGACGGGGUGUGAGAUCCAGAUACGCCGACUACGCUCGUAGACGUCGCCCUUUGCGCGAUCGUGGACGCGGGUUCGACUCCCGCCGUCUCCACCU
rnacentral:tmRNA from 1 species